UCCCUCUCAGGGUCGCACCUGGAGAGUUUCCAGUCCUCUACCAGUCUCGGCUACAGGAGGGAGAGUCAAGCAGAGGGCUACCCAUUCCGUUCCUAGCUCGGCCAGUGGCUAGCGGGUGGAGGGCCAUCUGCUACAAGU
rnacentral:snoRNA from 1 species